GUCGAGAAUCUUCCGCAAUGCGCGAAAGCGUGACGGAGCGACACCGCGUGAUGGAUGAAGUCCUUCGGGGCGUAAACAUCUUUUAUAAAGGAGGAAAUUUUUGACGUUACUUUAUGAAUAAGGGGCUCCCAAUCUCGUGCCAGCAGGAGCGGUAAUACGAGAGCCUCAAGCGUUAUCCGGAAUCAUUGGGCGUAAAGGGUGCGUAGGUGGUUUGAUUAGUCUCCCGUUAAAACUUCGAGCUUAACUCGAAAAGAGCGGGGGAAACGGUCAAACUAGAGUAUGUGAGAGGUGUGUGGAACUCAUGGUGUAGGGGUGAAAUCCGUUGAUAUCAUGGGGAACACCAAAAGCGAAGGCAGCACACUGGCACAUCACUGACACUGAGGCACGAAACCUAAGGUAGCGAAUGGGAUUAGAAACCCGGGUGUCC
rnacentral:rRNA from 1 species